rnacentral:lncRNA from 1 species
UGAUCGCAGGGAAGUCAGAUUCAUUAAAAAAGUCGGCAGUGGAAAGAGAUACAGUGAUGCUUUCACCACCGCUGUAUCAUCUGCUUCCUCAUCCUCAUCGUGGUUCAAUUACAACGUCUACACCUAAGCAAUGGUGUGACUUUUUACUUGCGGAGCUGCAAAACCAUAGCCUCGGUUUAUUGCUUCUUGGUAAGAACAAAUAUUUCCUUUAGUUAUUUUUAUUCUAUUCUAUUUAAUUUAUGAGAUUAAAUAUUAUCUUUAAUUAUUUCAUUAUUACUAUUUAAUAUAAAAAAUUAAAUAUCAUUUUUAAUAAUAAAAAAUUAAAUAUUUAAGGCUUUUUGGUAAGAAUACAUAUUUCCUUUAGUUAUUUCUAUUUUAUUCUAUUUGAUGGGAAUUUGUUCGUAAUAACAAAAUGCACAUGUUUAACUUUCUUUUCAAACUUGGAAGUUUUAUUGAAUUUGAUGGCUUUUGAAGGUAGAGAAGACUUGGAGUGAAGAGUACAAGAUCAUUUUAUAUAGAGAUGCUUGAAGUUACUUCAAAUUAGUACGGUACUUCUAUCUGAUGUAUUGAUAUGUAUUUGUUUGUUUGAAGAUUAUUUUCCAAGCUUGGAAGUUUUAUUGAAUACUCUUUGAAAUCUUUUCCAUCCGCUUUUAUAUUUUUAUAUUGGACAACCUAGUUGUUAAUUAUUAUCCAUGAUGUAAUUUAUAUUUUCAAGUUAUAAAUUUUGAUGAAUAUUGUUUCAUUUUUUUCCUCAUUUCAAAAGUUGAAAAUCCUUAUUUUAGUUAGAAAUAAAUUGGUUUUCUAGGAAGAGAUUAUUGAUUGGAAACAAGAGCAAAAGAAAAAAGCAAACACCCCAUUCGAUUUUCAUUCAGUAUAAGAGUGAGAAAGAGAGACGCCAAGGUGGUUCUCGAAUAUUUUGUUCUUUUUUGUCUCGCUCACUGGGGUAAAUACUUCAUCAUUUAAUGUUAUAAUUUAAAAUAAUUGAUGAAAAAGAAUUUUAUUCAAUCCCAAUCCCAAUCCCACAUUGUCUGUAGAAGUAUUUACUUUUGACUGUACACUUUGUUAUUUUCCAAUCCCUCCCCAGUUCUGCAACCAUUUCUCUACUUUCUAUGCUCUUGGCUUGCUAAAAACUAAAGAAAACACAUUGCUCUAGUUGCCUGCCUUCACUCUUCAGAUUGCUCAACAAAUCCCUUGAGACCUUCUCCAUAGUUAACACAUCACAUAAUGGCUACUCUAAAAAAUUUAGCCAUAAACAUUGAACACCUUAAGCAAUCAACGUGCCUUCCUUCACAAUAUGCAUCACCCAUAAAUCUUUCUUUUGGGAUGUCGCCGGGAGUUUAAAUUUCCGAGUGUAAAAAUUACUCAAUGAAAAAGCGAGCACUAACGCACCUUCUCCACAAACUACCAUAAAUAUAUAAAUAUAUUAUGAAAACAAGAUAAAAAGAAAUCUUUCGGUACAUCUAUAUAUAUAUAUUAUGGCUAUGAAAAUAGGUUUGUGGAAAUUUACAUCAUUUGAUCUUGACAGUGUCAGAUUAGACAAUUGCAUGGAAAUGGUCUUCUUAGUUUGCCGUGUGGAAAAUCAUGUCAUUUACGGGGCUGCUGGAGAGAGUGUCUAUUGAUAAUUUUAUCUUAUUUGCAUUGACCGGUAAUUUCACUCGAAAAUUUCUAGUAAUUUAAAAGCAAAUUUCUACUGACUAUUAUUGACUGGCUUCUUGCAAAGUAUUUGUAAGAAAGCUAAAGAAUUAAAGUUUUUUAAUUUUUAAAAUUGUAAGAAAAAAAUCAAUUAUUUUUAAAAUUGUUUUCAAAAAUAAAACACCAACUAUUUAUAUAAUAGCUAAAUCUAUUAAGAUAAAUCCAAAAUAACUAGUAAAAUCAGUGACUUGCAUUGACGGUGUAAUGAUCUGGAACCACUCGCAAUAAAUAAAGCCAAAAAAGGCAGACGAGUGUGUCUAUAUAUACAUAUAGGAACCGCUGAUUCGAUUUGAAUAUGUUAUUUGAUUAGUCUAAUUCAUGACUUGCAUUGACUCAAGAUUACCACUCAAGAUUUCGUGGUGCUUUCUCGGCCUGCAAAUGAAUAGAAAGCAUGUCGUUUUAACCUCAUUUCAAUAUCCUUGCUUUACUCUCCAGCUAGCCUGAUACAUAUGAGUCUCAAGACAUACGGCCAUUGAUAGAAAGGAGUGCUGAAGCAAAAUAUUUUUUUAUCUGUAGCGACCUCAAUAAUGUUAAAGCGUGGACCACCAUGAAAUUACCGCUCCAAAUUCCUUGUUCUUUCUAUAUUAUUAGAAAAAUUAUCAUUGACUAAUUUAAUUGGAAAUUAUUUGCGAGAAAGCUAAAAAGAAUUAAAGUUUUUUAAUUUAUAAAAUUAUAAUUUUAAAUUGUAAAAAAAUUCAAUUAUUUUAAAAAAUAAAACAUCAACUAUUUAUAUAAUAGCUAAAUAAAUCUAUUAAAAUAAAUUGAGAAUAACUAGUAAAAUCAAGCAAAUAAUCCAAAAAUAACAAGAAAAUAAAUAUAUUUCCUAGAUCUAAUUUGAUUAUAUUUAUUAUCUUGAUUGACUUACUUGUUAAGUCUUCGCUAAGCAUAAAUGAACUUUAAUCUAAGAAUCUGUUUUAUAUUUCUUCAUUUAUUAAUGAAAUAUUACUUCUACUGUAUAGUUUUUGGUUCCGAGUUGAUCCACCAGAUUAAUAGGUGAACAAUAUAUUUUGUCUCCACAGGUUAUAACAUCAUUUCAAUAUCUUUAAACAAAAUCUUUGUUAAACUGCACCAUUGGUAAUUGAUUAUGCCUUAAUUUCUGCAGCUGCCAGGACAGAGCCAGAGUCUUCUCGAUCUAGACCAGAAGGGGCCUAUGAUGUCUUCUUGAGUUUUAGAGGAGAAGACACUCGCAAGACAUUUACAGAUCAUCUCUACACUGCCUUAGUCCAAGCAGGAAUCCACACUUUUCGAGAUGAUGAUGAACUUCCGAGAGGAGAAGAAAUCUCCGAUCAUCUCCUCAGGGCAAUUCAAGAAUCAAAGAUAUCCAUAGUUGUCUUCUCAAAGGAUAUGCUUCUUCUAGAUGGUGUCUCAAUGAACUUGUAGAGAUUCUUAAGUGCGAAAAUAGGAAAACCGGUCAGAUUGUUCUUCCUAUAUUCUAUGACAUUGAUCCUUCAUAUGUCAGAAAACAGAAUGGCAGUUUUGCAGAAGCAUUUGUUAACCAUGAAGAGCGUUUUGAAGAGAAGUUGGUGAAGGAGUGGAGAAAAGCUCUUGAGGAGGCUGGAAAUCUAUCUGGAUGGAAUCUCAAUGAUAUGGCAAAUGGGUAUGCCUUUUCUCUCUAAAAUUCACUUGCAGACGUUUAUGGAGUAAUUCUACAUUACAUUUUUCAAUGUGAAGUAAUAAAAUAUUUCUUUUUAGCAUACUUAAUUGACUUGCUAUCGAUGACUUGCUUUUUUUCUGUGAGCAGGCAUGAAGCAAAAUUUAUCAAAGGGAUUAUCAAUGAUGUGUUGAAUAAAUUACGUCGCGAGUGCUUAUAUGUUCCUGAGCAUCUGGUAGGUAUGGAUCUUGCUCACGAUAUUUAUGACUUUCUAAGUACUGCAACAGAUGAUGUACGCAUUGUGGGCAUACAUGGGAUGCCAGGAAUAGGAAAGACGACUCUAGCAAAAGUUGUAUUUAAUCAACUCUGCUAUAGAUUCGAGGGAAGCUGCUUUCUUUCGAAUAUCAAUGAAAGUUCAAAACAAGUUAAUGGUCUUGUUCCUUUACAAAAGCAACUUCUUCAUGAUAUUUCAAAACAAGAUGUUGCUAACAUCAAUUGUGUCGAUAGAGGAAAGGUUAUGAUCAAAGAUCGACUUUGUCGCAAAAGAGUUCUUGUUGUUGCUGAUGAUGUGGCUCAUCUGGAACAGCAGAAUGCAUUGAUGGGAGAGCGAAGUUGGUUUGGUCCCGGAAGUAGAGUAAUCAUUACAACAAGAGAUUCAAAUCUUCUUCGUGAAGCAGAUCGAACAUAUCAGAUCGAAGAAUUGAAACCACAUGAGUCCCUUCAGCUUUUCAGCAGGCAUGCCUUUAAGGACUCCAAGCCAGCACAAGAUUAUAUUGAGCUUUCGAAGAAAGCCGCUGGUUACUGUGGAGGACUUCCUUCAGCUCUUGAGGUUACAGGAGCUCUUCUGUACAGGAAAAACAGAGGUAGAUGGGAAAGUGAAAUGGACAACUUGAGCAGAAUUCCAAACCAAGAUAUUCAAGGAAAGCUUCUAAUAAGUUAUCACGCACUUGAUGGUGAACUACAAAGGGCAUUCCUUGAUAUUGCAUGCUUCUUUAUUGGUAUAGAGAAAGAAUACGUCGCAAAAGUGCUAGGAGCCCGUUGCCGUCCCAAUCCAGAAGUUGUUUUGGAAACUCUCAGUGAAAGGUCUCUGAUUAAAAUAUUGGGAGAGACGGUAACCAUGCAUGAUCUAUUACGAGAGAUGGGAAGGGAGGUCGUUUGUAAAGCGUCCCCAAAAGAACCUGGAAAGAGGACCAGAAUUUGGAAUCAAAAGGAUGCAUGGAAUGUACUUCAACAGCAGAAGGUACGAGCUCAAUGCAUACAUGAAAGCGUAGUCAUGUGUAUUUUCUCAAUGCAAACAUGAAAGCAUAGUCAUGCGUAUUUUCUUGUCAAACUUAUUACAAAUAAUUGAAUGAAAGUUGUAUUGAUUUUUUUUUUAGGGUACGGAUGUUGUAGAGGGUCUUGCACUGGAUGUCAGAGCAUCAGAAGCUAAAUCACUUAGCGCAGGAUCAUUAGAAAAAAUGAAAUGCUUAAAUUUACUCCAAAUCAACGGAGCACAUCUCACCGGAUCCUUCAAACUGCUUUCUAAAGAGUUGAUGUGGAUUUGUUGGCAUGAAUGUCCUUUGAAAUAUUUUCCAUCUGAUUUUACCUUGGACAAUCUAGCUGUUCUUGAUAUGCAGUACAGUAACCUCAAAGAACUAUGGAAGGGAAAAAAGGUGCGAAACAUGCUGGAAUCCCCAAAAUUUCUCCAGCAUGUAAUUUAUAUUUACAUGUUAUGACUUUCUAUGAUUAAUUGUCAUUAUUUUACUCUCUCUUAUGACAGAUUCUCGACAAGCUAAAAAUCCUUAAUCUCAGUUAUUCUCAUCACCUUAUUAAAUCACCAAAGUUGCACAGUUCAAUUCUAGAGAAACUAAUUCUGAAAGGUUGCUCAAGUUUAGUUGAGGUGCAUCAAUCAAUUGGACAUUCGACGAGCCUCGUUUUCUUGAAUCUCGAGGGAUGUUGGAGUCUGAAGACUCUCCCUGAAAGCAUUGGUAAUGUAAAGUCUCUUGAAACUAUGAAUAUUUGUGGGUGUUCACAACUUGAGAAAUUGCCAGAAGGCAUGGGUGAUAUGAAAUUCUUAACUGAGCUGCUAGCCGAUGAGAUUAAAACUGAGCAAUUUCUCUCUUCAAUUGGGCAAUUAAAGUAUAUCAAAAGGUUAUCAUUGCGUGUUUCAAAUUUGAAAUGUUGGCUGCCAACAUCUUUCACUGAAUGGAGAUUAGUGAAAUAUCUUAAGCUUUACUGUGUUGAUUUUAGAGGUAUGUUCUCUCUAAAAGUAUUGGAUCUAAGAGGAAACAAAUUCUCUAGCCUGCCUUCUGGGAUCGGCUUCCUUCCCAAGCUAUCGUACUUGGUUGUUAAGACAUGUGAAUAUCUUGUAUCAAUCCUAGAUCUUCCCUCAAGUUUAUGCCUUUUGGAUGCAUCUUAUUGCAAAUCAUUGGAAAGAGUAAGAAUACCAAUCGAGGCAAAAAAAGAACUAUGUGUAAAUAUAUAUAUGAAAGUCUUUCGGUAGAAGAGAUUCAGGGCAUCGAAGGUUUAAAUAAUAGUUUCUGGUAUGUUAGUGUUACAUCACCAAAUAAAUUACAGAAGAGCAGUCAUUCACCAAAUAAAUCACAGAAGAGCGUUGUUGAGGUACUAUUUCUUUUAGUCUCUCUUGCACAAGAAGAAACACACACAAUUGGCACAUACAUUGAUUAAUGUCUAAAAUCGCAGCAUUCCUUGAAAUUAAUAUGUAUACAUACAAUUAUUAUUUUAAUUUAAAAAAUAAAUAUCAUCUUUAAUAAUAUUUUCUUAUUUUUCUUAUUUAAUCUAAAAAAUUAAAUAUUAUCUUUAAUAAUAUUUUUUAUAAAAUAUUUAAAGUCUUUGGUUUUCUUUUUUAUUUCUUGAUUUUAUGAUAAUAUAUUUAUACAGGCAAUGUGCAACCGUGGUCACGGGUAUCGUAUUAGCUUCAUUGUUGAUGAUCUACUUGAGAUGCCAGAUUGGAUGAGCUACAGGGCAGAAGGAUGCGCAUUGUCAUUCCAUAUACCUCCAGUCUUCCAUGGCUUAGUUCUUUUGUUUGAGAAGAGUACUCAUCUUUACACAGUCACUAACAUUAUUAUUAUUAUAAGAAAUAAAAGCAACGGAAGAAUAUUGUUUAAAGAUAAACGAGCACAGAUAGGAAUACAUAUAUUUAUGCAGGGAUGGUUAAGAUACAUAAGUAGAAGUGAAAUGGCAAUGGAAGAUUACUGUGGAGAUGACGAAUUGGAACUAUACAUAUAUUCACAGCAAUCAGAGUAUGCAACGGUCAUUCAUUCGAACCCGUACACGUUAAAGAAUGUGGGGUCCAUGUGAUCGCAGAGAAGUUAGAUUCAUUUGAAGAGUCGGCAGUGGGAAGAGAUACAGUGAUGCCUUCACCACCGCUGUAUCAUCUGCUUCCUCAUCCUCAUCGUGGUUCAAUUACAACGUCUACACCUAAGCAAUGGUGUGACUUUUUACUUGCGGAGCUGCAAAACCAUAACCUCAGUUUAUUGCUUCUUGGUAAGAACAAAUAUUUCCUUUAGUUAUUUUUAUUCUAUUCUAUUUAAUUUAUGAGAUUAAAUAUUAUCUUUAAUUAUUUCAUUAUUACUAUUUAAUAUAAAAAAUUAAAUAUCAUUUUUAAUAAUAAAAAAUUAAAUAUUUAAGGCUUUUUGGUAAGAAUACAUAUUUCCUUUAGUUAUUUCUAUUUUAUUCUAUUUAAUUUAAGAGAUUAAAUAUCAUCUUUAAU